UGUCACUGAGAACUGCCAUGGCCUACCUGGGGAACAGCUUUCCUUACAUUGAAUAGAUUCAAAUAUGCGAUUUGCAGGUAUUUCUCCUGUGACACAGUGGAAACCUACAGGAGCGUAGCAUUACUGUCCUCUGCAAGGCUCCACCGAGCAGUAGACUGACACAGAAGCAGAAGCACACGGCCAAAUAUCGGAUGGAGCUCAGUGAGACUCACGGAAGAGCUGAGGGAAGGAAUUAGAGAAGCAGAGGAGCACAAUGGUCUUCACGUGGGAUCAUUAAACCUGUCACCUUUCUGUGGAA